AACGAACGCUGGCGGCAGGCUUAACACAUGCAAGUUGAACGAAUUUAAGUUUUAUAAAUUUAUUUUAUAAACUUAAGUUAAGUAGCGGACGGGUGAGUAACAUGUAAGAACCUACCUUUAGGAAGGGAAUAACUAUUGGAAACGGUAGCUAAUACCCUAUAAUCUGAGGAGUAAAAGGUGAAAACCACCUAAAGAUGGGCUUGCAUCUGAUUAGCUUGUUGUGAAUUAAUGUUACCAAGGCGAUGAUCAGUAGUUGGUCUAAGAGGAUGAUCAACCACACUGGGAUUGAGACACGGCCCAGACCUCUACGGAGGGCGGCAGUGAGGAUUUUCCGCAAUGGGCGAAAGCCUGACGGAGCAAUGCCGCGUGGAUGACGAAGGC
rnacentral:rRNA from 1 species